AAAAAGUUGGAAUGACUCAAACGACUUUUUUUUGUAUCAAGGCUUUUGGUGUUACUCAUUUUUCAUUGAAGGAGUGAUGUCGGCUCAACAAAAUUUUCAAUCUCAACCUUCCGAUAUCGUCAUAUGCAGUGCACCGAAAACUGGAACAACAUGGUUAAAGUCCCUGACUUUCGCCAUUGUCACAAGAACCACCUUCGAUGGUUCCACUAACCCUUUACUUGCCAAUCUAUCACAUGAUUGUGUACCCUUUUUAGAGGUUGAUUUAGCCCAAUCUUCCACCAAUCGAGACCCUAAAAAUCCUUUGUUAGCCACACAUGUCCCUUACUCUUCUUUACCAAGAUCAAUAAUUGAUUCCAGUUGUAAAAUUGUUUACAUUUGUAGGAACCCUAAGGAUUCAUUCGUUUCGUUUUAUCACUUCAUUGCUAGGCACUUGGCAUCCAAAGACAUGAAGCCCCUUGCUUUAGAAGAGGCCUUUGAGCUUUAUUGCCAAGGUGUAAGCAAUUAUGGACCUUAUUGGGACCAUGUUCUAGGGUUUUGGAAAGCAAGUUUGGACCGACCUGAUAAGAUUCUUUUCUUGAAAUACGAAGAAAUGAUAGAAGAUACUGUUUUAUACGUUAAGAAAUUAGCUGAUUUCAUCGGUUAUCCUUUCUCUUCUGAAGAAAUCAAAAAAGGGUCAGUCGACAAGAUCGUAAGCAUGUGUAGUUUCGAGAACUUAAGCAAUUUGGAAGUGAAUAAAAGUGGCAAACACCGUGAAGGAACUCCAGGGGUGAUUGAAAACAAGAUCUAUUUCCGAAAAGGUAAGGUUGGGGAUUGGGAGAAUUAUUUGACACCUGAAAUGGCUGCUCGGUUGGACUCGAUAACGUUGCAGAAGCUAAAUGGUUUAGGCUUAACUUUGUGAUUGAAUCAUAAAGCAGCCAUGGGGUACAUUGUCCCUUCUCUGCAAUUUCGACAUAUUAUGUUUCUAAAAAUAAUUUGUGUAUGCUUUUAGCAAGUAGCAACACUUCUCGUGUUGUUCAUGUUAAGAUCAAUAAAAAGUAUAGUUGGUUCAAUUGAAAUUGAUUCAAUCAAUAUAAUAUGAUAUAAGUGUUUUGAUUUUGUUAGUUUAAUUUUUAUAGAUAAACUACACCAACUCUCCUAAGCUUUGUAUAAAAUUACAUUUCAGCUACCCAACUUUCAAAAUUUAUAUCAUAGUCACUAAAAUUAUCAAAUUGAUACAUUUUUGUCACUUGACUGUUAACUUCUAUUAAAAAAGUAACAUUGCACCUUAAUUCAAAAGAUUGCUCUGACAAUGGAUGUGACAUCUCAUAACUCGGACAUGCAAUCAGGUUGGGUAUGGAGUGUUACAAGAAAUGUGGGUUUGAAGAAGAAGAAUAACACUUUGUAUUAUAAAUUUAAAAACAAAAACCCAAUCAGUCUAGUAAUUGGAGUUAGAGAAGAAAUGAUAGGUUUAAAAAGGAAAUAGAAUACUUUGUACUAUAAAUUAAAAGAAAAAAAAUCUAAAAUUUCAAAAAAUUGAAACUUACCAAAGAAUCCAAAUAAAUAUCAUAUAAUAGAACAUUUUGCUCCUCUCUUGCCCGAUAGCCCGUUGACGGUAGAAAUUUUUAUGAUUCUCAAGAAUGAAAUCAAUGUUACCCAAGCAUUGAUUUUGUUUCUUGGAAAUUCAAGCAGCAAUAAUCGGUCUAAUAAUUGUAAUUAAUUAGACUUUUCUAGAUAAUAAAAUACUAGAACGUAACCAACAUUAUAAACUACUAACAAUAUAUAUUUGAUGGUUAAAUUUUUUUUACAUAGAACGAAUAUUUAGAAAAUUUUAAUUUAUAACUUACAUACAUGAUCUAUAUGAAUGGAGCAUGAAAUAUGACAUGAGAUUGUUAAAAUAUUAAUUGUAUAAAAAAUUACUAAAUUAUGCAAAACCACUUUAAUUUUACACCCGUGUAAGUGAAUCUCUCCUCGUAUUUUAUUUUUUAUUAUUUUAUUAUUUUUUUUCCAGUUUUGCAGCAUAAAAUGUUUCUAAUAACUGAGAGUGGCGCGCUUAAAAAGUCCGUGGUGCCUGCACCUUUCUUCUGAAAUUAGGAUGUCCAGAGAUGGUUUUAUCUCCGUUUUGGAAGCAGAUAUGCUCGGUUUCAUAAUGGGAUUUGCGCUGGCGUUUUUAGGUUUGUAAAGGCCUGGUUUGUUUAAGGCAUAGUGGUGAUUUUGGAGAAGAAUUUGGAGUGUUGUUGAUGUGUUUCCACUGGAGAGUUGAUAAGAUAUUUUGUGUUGUUACGAGGUUUUUGUGUUGGUUUUGUUUUUUGGGUUGAGUUUUGUUUAACUGAUGAGGAUAUUGGGGUUCUGGUGGGUGGUUGUUUGUUGUUAUCAGUUUAUGUUUGGUUGUUGGUUCUUGGGUAAGGGUCAUUUUCGUUGGGGGUUAGCAUUUCUUGCAAAUGCUGAAUUUGUAAUUUCUUGAUUGAGCAAAAAAAAAAUCAAAUUUCAAUCAAAUAACUUUUCUUUGGGCGUAAAAAUUGAUUGAACAAGUAAAAUUUGUUGGACAAAAUACGUUAAUGAACAAAUAUAAAUAUAAAUAUAAAUAUAAAUAAUUAUGUAAGAAAAUAAAACAACUUAAUAUAAAAAAAUAUUUAUACACAUGUAAAAACACCAAAUUUAACUAAAACAAAUUAAAUAAAUAUUUGUAUUUAUUUAAAACAACAAAUUUGAAAUGAAGGAAUAAACAAGAUUUCUGAAAAACCAAAAAUCGAAUAAAGGGAUUCGAGUUUUACUAGAUGUUUAGGCAUGUUUUCACAGUUUCCUUAAGAUAGAUUUGGCCGCUCCUAUGGUACUUCAAGAAACGUUGGUCAACUGUCUCCUAGGAUACAACAACAAAAUGAUUGCGGCAGUAGUGCCUUUGUAAUGAUCAAUGAACAAGUCUUGCCUUCUUCUAUCAUCGAAACAUUUGAAAAAUUGGAGAGAAAAGAAAAGAAUUUUGAGAGUGAAAAUUUGUUAUUUCUUUGUGAGUGUGUGUGUAGAAUUCUUUAGGCUUUUAUAGGCAUUUAAUAUGGAGGAAUUUUGGAAAUUUCCAUGAAUAAAAAUACAAAUCUUUCCAUUAAAGGAGCCUCUAAAUCAAUUUCAAUAAAAUCAAAUUGAUUGAUUAGAAUAAAAUCAAAUCGAGAUAUUUUCCUUUUAAUACUUUGCUGAGAAAAAAAAAAUUCUUGUUGGGCUUAAAAUAUAUUUAGGCUCAUCUUGGGCCAAAUUGAUCCAAACAUUUUGAAUUGACAAUGUCGAGUGUGUGCACUCCCAACCCUUAGCAAGUUUGGACCUACACCCCCUAUGAGUAAGGCAAUGUUUCAAGCUUAAGUAUUCAAUUACCCUUCAAGUGGGUUCUCAUAUAUAUACAUAUCUCAUACUUGGUUUUUAACCAAUGUGGGGUCUAAGCUUUUGUUUUCCUCAACUAAUAUUCACAAGUGGCUUAGUUUGUGUUGAAAAGUCAAUUAAGGGGGUGUUGAAAAGUCAAAAAUGAGAGGUGCAAUUGGCACCGAAAGAAAAAGUGAUAGGCAAGUUGUUUAAAGUUGAAUGGGAUAAUUGCAAUUUUGGUCCUUAAUUUUUUAGGCCAUUUGCAAGUUGGUUCCUGAACCUCAACUAUAAAUAGGCCUAAUCAUUUUUCAUUUCAACCAUCCUAACCAAUCUUUCUCUCUUAGUUUUCUCUCUUCUCCCAUUUGAGAAUUCUUAAGGAAUUCUAUUUGUUUGUAAUAUUUUGGAGAUAGUAAAGUUAUCAUCUGGUGUUAGUGCCCGAGGACGUAGGUAUAAUUUACCAAACCUCGUUAAAACUCUUGUGUUCUUUCUUGUAGUAUUUUUCUUUCAAUAUUUGAGGGUAUAAUAGUAGUAUUUAAUUGUGCUAUUAAAUUACUAUAGAAGGGAUAUUUUGACUAAGAAAAGACUUGGUAUUUAAGAGAUCCUUGUGAUCCACCUCUCUUCCCUGGGAAUUGAACUUUGUGUGAUUUUUUAGUACAAUAAUUUACACGCUUCCGACCCUAUUGAAACAACAAGUGUUAUCAAGAGCCGAAGGUUAAUCGUAGUAUGCUCUGUGGUUGCAGUUUAAACUGAUCUUCCACAUCAGAAAAGAUUUCCUUAGGUAUAUUGAAAGAUUAUGGAGAAAACGGUCGGUGUAGGAGCUUCAACAUCGUCCAUGUGGACAAGACCGACAAUUGCAAAUGCAAGAUUGGCCGUGGAGAUCUUUGAUGGUACGGGCCAUUUUGGUAUGUGGCAAAGUGAGGUUCUAGAUGCCCUUUUUCAGCAGGGUCUAGACAUUGCCAUUGAUGAAGAGAAACCAGAUGAUGUACAGAAGAAAGAUUGGAAGGCGAUCAAUCGGUUGGCAUGUGGCACAAUUCGAUCAUGCCUUUUUUGAGAGCAGAGGUAUGCUUUUUCAAAUGAGACUUUUGCAAAUAAGUUGUGGGUGGCACUUGAAGAAAUUUUUUUGAAGAAAAACAGUCAAAAUAAGCUCUACCUAAAGAAAAAACUGUUUCGCUUCACUUACGUCCCAGGUACCACAAUGAAUGAUCACAUCACCAAAUUUAAUCAGUUAGUCACUGAUUUGCUAAAUACGGAUGAGACAUUCAAAGAUGAAGAUUUGGCUUUGAUGCUGUUGGGGUCACUUCCUGAGGAGUUUGAGUUCCUAGAAACUACUCUACUUCAUGGCAGGAGUGAUAUAUCUCUGAGCGAAGUCUGUGCGGCCUUAUACAGUUAUGAACAGAGAAAGAAGGACAAACAGAAAAACUUAAUCAGAGAUACGGAAGCUUUAGUAAUCUGAGGUCGUUCAUACACUCGGAAGAAAACUCAGAAAGGGAGAUCAAAGUCAAAGUCCAGACUCGGGAAAGAUGAAUGUGCCUUUUGUCAUGAGAAAGGUUACUGGAAGAAAAAUUGUCCAAAGCUGAAGAAUAAGGGAAAAGCUGCUGUAGAUGCUUGUGUUGCAAAGCAUGAUACCAGUGACUCUGAACUAUCACUGGUUGCAUCAUCAUCGUCGUUCCAUUCAGAUGAGUGGAUAUUGGAUUUGGGUUGUACCUAUUAUAUGUCCCCUAAUCGGGAGUGGUUCUCUGAUUUAGUAGAACUAAAUGGAGGAGUUGUUUAUAUGGGCAAUGAAAAUGCCUGUAAAACUGUUGGGAUAGGUUCAAUCCAAUUAAAGAAUCAAGAUGGAUCAACCAGAGUUCUGACUGAUGUUCGGUACGUGCCCAGUUUGAAGAAAAAUUUCAUCUUAUUGGGAGCCUUGGAAUCCAAUGGUUCAGUUGUUACUAUAAGAGAUGGGGUUUUAAAAGUGACAUCUGGCGUACUUGUGAUAUUGAAGGGGAUCAGGAAAAAUAACUUGUAUUACUACCAAGGUAGUACAGUUAUUGGAGCAAUCGCUGCAGCUUCCGGUAACAAAGAAUUGGACUCAAUGCAGUUGUGGCAUAUGAAGUUGGGACAUGCCAGCGAAAAAUCCUUGCAAAUUCUGGCAAAGCAAGGAUUGUUGAAAGGUACAAAGGCUUGCAAAUUAAAAUUUUGCGAGCAUUGUGUUCUGGGAAAGCAAAAGAGAGUGAAAUUCAGCACUGCUAUCCAUAAUACAAAAGGUAUUUUGGAAUAUGUUCACUCAGAUGUGUGGGGGCCUUCCAAAACACCUUCGUUAGGAGGAAAACACUACUUUGUUACUUUUGUUAAUGACUUUUCCAGAAGAGUUUGGGUGUAUACCAUGAGAACUAAUGAUGAAGUGCUUAGAAUUUUUCUUAAAUGGAAAACUAUGAUCGAAAACCAGACUGGCAAGAAAAUCAAGCGGCUUAGGACGGACAAUGGAGGGGAAUAUAGAAGUGAUCCGUUCUUCGAUGUGUGCCAAGAGUGUGGUAUUGUUCGACACUUCACAGUUAGGGAUACACCACAGCAGAAUGGAGUGGCAGAGCGUAUGAAUCGAACAUUGCUGGAGAAAGUUCGAUGUAUGUUGUCCAAUGCUGGGUUGGGCAAGCAAUUUUAGGCUGAGGCUGUGAUAUACGCUGGCCAUCUUGUUAAUUGUUUGUCAUCAUCUGCAUUAGAAAGAAAAACUCCUAUGGAGGUAUGGUCUGGAAAACCGGCUACAGAUUAUGAUUCCUUACAUGUGUUUGGAUCCACUGCAUAUUACCAUGUGAAGGAGUCAAAGUUAGAUCCGAGGGCAAAAAAAGCUCUCUUUAUGGGAAUCACUUCUGGAGUGAAGGGAUUUCGUCUUUGGUUCUUAGACACAAAAAAUGAUCUGUAGUAGAGAUGUUACCUUUGAUGAAUCUGCCACAUUGAAAAAGGUAGCAGAUAAAGAUAUUCAGACGAGCGAUACUCCACAGCAGGUGGAGUGUACUCCAAAACAGGUGGAGUUUGAGCAGAUGGGGAUUUGCCCAGUUCAUAAGUCUAAUUCUCCAGCCACAAUGGAGGAAUUAGAGGUUGAAGAGGUUCUGACCCAAAAACCGUUAAGUACACCAGAACCAGUUGCAGUUGCAAAGCCACGGAGAGAAAUUCGUAGACCUGCUCGAUUUACUGAUAUGGUGGCCUACGCCCUUCCCGUUAUUGAUGAUGAUAUUCCUGUCACUUAUCAAGAAGCAAUGCAAAGCUUAGAAAGUGAUAAAUGGAAAAGCGCCAUGGAUGAAGAAAUGCAGUCUCUCCGGAAGAACAAUACUUGGGAGUUGGCACAAUUACCGAAAGGUAAAAGGGCAAUCGGAUGCAAAUGGGUAUUCGCAAAGAAAGAUGGAUCUCCUAGCAAGAAAGAUGUUCGCUACAAGGCAAGAUUGGUAGCAAAAGGCUAAGCUCAGAAGGAGGGAAUUAACUACAAUGAUGUAUUUUCCCCUGUUGUGAAGCAUUCCUCCAUCAGAAUUUUGUUGGCCUUGGUAGCACAGUUGAAUUUGGAGCUAGCUCAACUUGAUGUUAAGACGGCUUUCUUGCAUGGUGAGUUAGAAGAGGAGAUCUAUAUGACUCAACCCAAAGGAUACACAGAUGCUGGUGGUAGAAAUUGGGUUUGUAAGUUGAACAAAUCGCUAUAUGAAUUGAAGCAAUCCCCGAGGAAGUGGUACAAGCGAUUUGAUAGCUUUAUGAGAAGGCAGAAGUACACAAGAAACAAAUAUGACAAUUGUGUGUAUUUGUAGAAGCUGCAUGAAGGAUCUUUCAUUUAUCUACUCUUGUAUGUUGAUGAUAUGUUAAUCGCUUCGAAGAGCCAAAAAAAGAUAGAUAAGCUGAAGUCUCAGUUGAAUCAAGAGUUCGAGAUGAAAUAUCUAGGUGAGGCUAAGAAGAUUCUCGGCAUGGAGAUAAGUAGAGAUAGACAGAGAGGCAAGCUUUGUUUGAAUCAGAAGUAAUAUUGGAAAAAUGUAUUACAAUGUUUUGGUGUAAAUGAAAACACAAAACAUGUAAGUACCCCACUUGCUUCUCAUUUGAAACUUAGUGCUCAAUUAUCUCCGAAAACUGAAGAAGAAAGAGAAUAUAUGACAAAAGUCCCAUAUGCUAAUGCAGUUGGGAGUUUGAUGUAUGCGAUGGUGUGUACGCGGCCUGACAUUUCACAAGCUGUUGGAGUUGUGAGCAGGUAUAUGCAUGAUCCUAGAAAAGGACAUUGGCAAGCUGUGAAAUGGAUUCUACGGUAUCUUCGAAAAACCGUAGAUGUUGGUUUAAUUUUUGAACAGGAUGAAGCACUUGGUCAGUUUGUAGUUGGAUAUGUUGAUUCCGACUUUGCUGGUGAUUUAGAUAAACGUCGUUCAACUACGGGGUAUCUGUUUACUCUUGCGAAAGCCCCAGUGAGUUGGAAGUCUACCUUACAGUCCACAGUAGCAGUGUCUACUACAGAGGCAGAAUAUAUGGCAGUUACAGAAGCUGUUAAGGAGGCUAUUUGGCUUAAUGGAUUGUUGAAAGACUUGGGAGUUGUUCAAAGUCACAUUAGUCUAUAUUGUGACAGUUAGAGCGCUAUUCAUUUAGCGAAAAAUCAAGUCUAUCAUUCAAGAACCAAGCAUAUCGACGUAAGAUAUCACUUUGUGCGGGAAGUCUUUGAAAAAGGAAAAAUUUUACUUCAGAAGAUUCUGACAGCAGAUAAUCCCGCAGAUAUGAUGACCAAGGUGGUAACAACAAUCAAGUUUAAUCAUUGUUUGAACUUGAUUAACAUCCUGAGAAUUUGAGCACCUUCAGGUGUAUGGCGCUCGAGAGCGCAUUUGGAGGCACUACAAAAGAUAGCUUUAUCGAAUAUGGGGAGUUGAAGGAAGUGUGUGAAGAUGUGAUUAUCCUAAUCAAAUCUUCAAGGUGGAGAUUGUUGAAAAGUCAAUUAAGGGGGUGUUGAAAAGUCAAAAAUGGGAGGUGCAAUUGGCACCGAAAGAAAAAGUGAUAGGCAAGUUGUUUAAAGUUGAAUGGGAUAAUUGCAAUUUUGGUCCUUAAUUUUUUAGGCCAUUUGCAAGUUGGUCCCUGAACCUCAACUAUAAAUAGGCCUAAUCAUUUUUCAUUUCAACCAUCCUAACCAAUCUUUCUCUCUUAGUUUUCUCUCUUCUCCCAUUUGAGAAUUCUUAAGGAAUUCUAUUUGUUUGUAAUAUUUUGGAGAUAGUAAAGUUAUCAUCUGGUGUUAGUGCCCGAGGACGUAGGUAUAAUUUACCGUACCUCGUUAAAACUCUUGUGUUCUUUCUUGUCCUAUUUUUCUUUCAAUAUUUGAGGGUAUAAUAGUAGUAUUUAAUUGAGUUAUUAAAUUACUAUAGAAGAGAUAUUCUGACUAAGGAAAGACUUGGUAUUUAAGAGAUCCUUGUGAUCCACCUCUCUUCCCUAGGAAUUGAACUUUGUGUGAUUUUUUAGUACAAUAAUUUACAAGCUUCCAACCUUAUUGAAACAACAGUUUGAACAUCAAUUUCUCAUUCAUCACUCAACCAUUUUGAGCAUAUGAUAUAAAACCAUAAUUUUAUGAUUCAACUCUCCACCUUUACCAAUCGAGAAUAUGCCUCAAAGUUUCCAAAAAUUACUUAUUUUCCAACAAAAUUUUAACGGCAUUGACGUGGUAGCUUGUAUAGUAGUGCAUGUGUACUUUAUUGCUGAUGUGGACGAUUGUUUUCAAAACUUUUAUGAACUAUUUGAAUUUUUAUUUUUGUUUCAUUUUAUGAAUUACACGCGAACUUUCAUGUGUAUCACCACGUCACUUUCGUUAAAAUUUUAAUAGUUCAAUUAAUUUUUUCGUUCGAAAAAAAUCAAUUUAACUAAAAUUUAAAAAUUUAAAACAAACCGAUCCAAAAAGUAUUAAGACAAAUGCAUUUAAGAAAAACAAAAAUUAUUUGAUACAUAUCUGUAGAAAUUUUAUACUCUACAAGCAAAAUCAAAGACUAAUAAAUAUCUUAUAGAAAUAUAAAAAAAAAACAUGACCACUUAUAAAAUAAAAAAAAUCACAUCACCCUAAACAAAAAAUUUCGACAAGUACUGCCAACAAAACCUGAUUCCAAAUCUUUUAAAAUAAUAUAAAAAUAUCUAUCAACUAGAUUUUUUAGUGACAAAAUCAUGCAUGGGACAGACCUUGACAAUUGCUUUAGUCCCUAUAAUUCUAUUCCAAUUCAAGAAAUUAAGUAGUGGAUAUAAUAAAAAACUCUUGUUAAAAGCAAAUAAUUCUCGUCACUAAAAUCACAUUGUUGAAUUACAAAGAAAUUAUUGUGUAAUUGUGAAAGAAAUUACCUUUUCUCUAAAGUUUUUUAUAGACCCAAUUUUUGUCAAAAUAUUUGCACUCAUUUCCCCCUUCUUUUUCCUUUAUGAAAAUGGCCUCCUUCAAAGAGAUUAUAUCAACACUCCCAAGAAGAAAAGGUUGGAAAGACUCAAAUAACGACCUUUUUUUGUAUCAAGGCUUUUGGUGUUCCUCGUUUUUCAUUGAAGGAGUGAUGUCGGCUCAACAAAAUUUUCAAUCUCAACCUUCCGAUAUCGUCAUAUGCACUGCACCGAAAACUGGAACAACAUGGUUAAAGUCUCUCACUUUUGCCAUUGUCACAAGAACCACCUUCGAUGAUUCCACUAGCCCUUUACUUACCAAUCUAUCACAUGAUUGUGUACCCUUUU
rnacentral:lncRNA from 1 species